GUGGGGAAUUUUGCGCAAUGGGGGAAACCCUGACGCAGCAACGCCGCGUGAAGGAAGAAGGUUUUCGGAUCGUAAACUUCUAUCCUUGGUGAAGAUAAUGACGGUAGCCAAGAAGGAAGCCCCGGCUAACUACGUGCCAGCAGCCGCGGUAAUACGUAGGGGGCAAGCGUUGUCCGGAAUGAUUGGGCGUAAAGGGCGCGUAGGCGGCCCGGUAAGUCUGAAGUGAAAGUCCUGCUUUUAAGGUGGGAAUUGCUUUGGAUACUGUCGGGCUUGAGUGCAGGAGAGGUAAGCGGAAUUCCCGGUGUAGCGGUGAAAUGCGUAGAGAUCGGGAGGAACACCAGUGGCGAAGGCGGCUUACUGGACUGUAACUGACGCUGAGGCGCGAAAGUGUGGGGAGCAAACAGGAUUAGAAACCCCGGUAGUCC
rnacentral:rRNA from 1 species